GGCGCGGUGGCCUAAUGGUUAGCGCGUUGGACUCCGGAAUGAACGGUCCUGGUUCGAGCGCUGGCCUGGGUCG